GACGAACGCUGGCGGCGUGCUUAACACAUGCCAGUCGUGCGGUAAGGCCCUUUCGGGGGUACACGAGACGCGAACGGGAGAAUAACACGUGAGGAAACUGCCCUGCACUUUGGGAUAACUGCCGGAAACGGUGGCUAAUAGCGGAAAGGACUUCCUCACGCAUGUUGGGUGUUGGAAAGCCUUGGGGUGGUGGGGGAUGUGUUCGCGGUCUAUCGGCUUGUUGGUGGGGUGAUGGCCUACCAAGGCUUGGACGGGUAGCCGGCCUGGGAGGGUGACCGGCCACACUGGGACAGAGACACGGGCCAGACUCCUACGGGAGGCAGGAGUGGGAAAUAUUGGACGAUGGGCGACAGCCUGGACCAGCGUCGCCGCGUGAGGGAUGACGGCCUUCAGGUUAUAAACCUCUUUCGCCUGCGACGAAGCGAGAGUGACGGUAGCAAGUAAAGAAGCACCGGCCAACUACGUG
rnacentral:rRNA from 1 species